GGCAACGUUCAUACCGCGUUUUAAUUCACCGGUUCUCGUCCGAUCACCGAAGUUAAGGAGCGCUGGGCGUGGUUAGUACUUGAAUGGGUGACCGUCUGGGAAUACCACGUUGAUGUUGCCA